CAAAGGUGAAAAGUGGCACGAUCUCGAUGUCACGACAUGGCCAAUAGUAGAGCAUAUCCGAAAACCACCGCAGACUGAUGGGUAUGUUGAAUCUCUUGAACUUUCGAAUGUGAAAAUUACGGUGAUACAAAAUUAAUGUAUUUAAAGGUGUGUUUGGAUAGUAGUUAAAUUAGACCUUACCAUUGAGUAACGGGCGUGGAGAAGCUCAGCCACUUCUUUUUUUGGUGUAUCAGCUCUAUGUCUCUUCUAUAUGGGUACUAACGUAAUUUCUUGUUUUUCUAGGUCGUGUGGUGCACGGUAGUUCAGUGACAUGUAGAGACAGAAAAUAAAAUUGACUAAGCAGUUGAGCUACCAUGAACCUAUGCAAAAAAAAAGUUAUUAAUCCUCUGAUCAAGUAGGUCUGAAAACUCUAAAUUGUUUACAAAAAAUGCGCGGUUUGCCAGUCUGGAGGAUUGGGUAGGUCGAAUGAUAUUUUAGCAUCCUCCAUUGGUACCAGUAGCAUGAAGUAUACCGAAAAUCUUUCUAGCUUAAUGAUUGUUUUAAUAUUUUUUUAUGUUGAUUUGUCUAGAUAGAAUUCUACUAUAACAUUUGCUAAUUUUGUAGCGCAUCGUGCGGGUUGUUCAUGUUAAAUUUUAUGGAAUAUUGGACAGGCGAUAUGCUUUCUGACUGCAUCAUUCAAGUAUUAUUUUUGUUUAGAGACCGUUAGUAGUAUCUUGCAUCUUAAAUUAUUAAUUUACAAUAUCAAUGUUUCUUACUACUUUGUAGGAGGAUAUGAAAGCAUUCCGAAGAAAAUUAAUUGUCAUAUUGCAUGAUUCGGAACUAAACAAAAUAAGAGGCAAUUCGAUAUAUAAUCAAUCUAAAGAUCAAGAAAAUAUAUGGAUCCGAUUCUGAUAUUACGGAAUCGCCAAGUCUAGGUAAAGAACACCAAGGAGAUGUAGCCAAAGAAAAUAUCCAGCUUCCUAUUUGCACCUUGUCCACCAAACCACAUGAGUUUGUUGACGAGAUAUGCAAAUACAUCAUGUCCAUUGACGAUGAAACCUGUUUGAAAAAAGAAUGGGUGCGAAGCUCCACACCUUAUCCACUAGGAUUAACUCUAAAGCAAAUUCAGGACAUACUCAGGAUGGACAAGCCAAUGGACAAGGAUUGUUUUAACAUGGCUGUGUGCAUAGUGGUAUGUGAUGAGAUACAAUUUUUGAUAGAGCCUCCCGUGCAUAACAUGGACUUAAGAUUUUGUAAAACAUCCACUUUGGCGUGUCAAGCCAGAUAUUAAGGAGUUGGCAACAUUUUUACAUAGCUGGCCUGGGAUAGACCAUAAUAUAUCAUCAUGCAACAUGAUUUUUUUGCCACACGAAUUUCUUGGCAACUUCAUCUUGUUCACCAUCGACAAACAUGAGUGUCGUGUAUGUAUUUUAGACCCAUGUUCUGAACCUCUAUCAGAAGAGAGGUACCAACUAAAAUUACAAAGGUGUUCAUUCUAUCUAAAUGACGCUCUUGAGAUAGCGCAACCAAGCUGGAAUUCCGAUAUUUAUUUCUGGCCACGUAAAUAUCCUCACAAUAUCCCAAUACCAACAAGCCCCGACAGAAAAUUGUCUGGAUACUUAGUAUUUAGUUUUAUGCUUUCAUGGGAUGGUAAAAGAUUUGUUCAUCCAGUUUGCAGCGAUGGUUACGAGCUAAGGAAAAAGUUUUUGAUACACAUACUCAAGUAUCUGGCUAAUGAAGUUGAAGACAACAUUCCUGAGAUCGUGUGAG